GUAGGUGUUCUGUGGCGGCGCGGCGAAGUCAGUUUAUCGCUGCUGAUAUCAGAGUGAAAAAGCAAGGCGUAUGCGAGGCAUCGUAAUCGCAUGAUAUCGGAACCUUUAGUUAUGCGUACGUGUGUGCAUCGUCAGUGCAAGGGCACGAAGUUGUGUGGUUUCGGGUAACGCGCUGGUGAACAGUGAAAGAUUAUGGAAGCAUCGCUGCGGAGACUCGACGAUACGUCGCUAGAGUGGUUGUGGGUUGUGUUCGCUACAGAUACAUACCAGUGCGAACACUGAGUCGGACCAGUGGAAGACACAUGAUACCGCAGAACAUAUUGCACUGUCUCGAAGUGAGACUCCAUCAGUAAUGAAGAUGUAUCAAGUGAUAGAGCACUGACGACGUCAUUCAGCAAGUCAUUCUGCGCCUCUAUAAUUGCGGCAUCAAGAAAAAGGGGAACCACUUCACUCAUAGACAUCCUGGUGAAAACUAGCUUGUCAAGCUGUGGAACUGCGUGUAAGGACAUGCUUCAGCCAGACAGCACACCUACAGAUUGGCUCAGGCAAUUAGUUGUACUGCUGUCCAAAUUUCCUCCCAUAUUCAUGCCAUGAAGAGACAUGACUCAUACACGACCUGCCCUAAUGGCAGCUCACUAAUGAGGAGACGCGCUUGGA